GACGAACGCUGGCGGCGCGCCUAACACAUGCAAGUCGAGCGAUGAAAUUUUAACCGAUCUCUUCGGAGAGAAGAUAAAAUGGAUUAGCGGCGGACGGGUGAGUAACACGUGAGAAACCUGCCUUUCACAAGGGGAUAGCCUCGGGAAACCGGGAUUAAUACCCUAUGACACAUUUCCUUCGCAUGGAAGAAAUGUUAAAACUCCGGUGGUGAAAGAUGGUCUCGCGCCUGAUUAGCUAGUUGGUGGGGUAACGGCCCACCAAGGCCAUGAUCAGUAACCGGGCUGUGAGGGUGAACGGUCACAUUGGAGCUGAGCCACAGUCCAAACUCCUACGGGAGGCAGCAGUGGGGAAUAUUGCACAAUGGAGGAAACUCUGAUGCAGCGACGCCGCGUGAGCGAUGAAGGCUUUCGAGUCGUAAAGCUCUGUCCUAUGGGAAGAUAAUGACGGUACCAUAGGAGGAAGCCCCGGCUAACUACGUG
rnacentral:rRNA from 1 species